AGAACUACUUGCUAAUGCGUCAGCUUUAAAUAAUAUCUGGUGUUUCUGAAGGCAACAGCUUCACAAGUUGUAGUUAGUGAAGAUGAAGAAUCUCUUCCUCCCUCUGACUGUCCCAGACUGAACUGUAUCCAGUGAUCCACAAAGUGUCCCGUCUGGUGAAUGGAAAGGAGCAGCUUAAAAGUCAAGAAGUUCAAAAUUCAAGUGCCUGUCAUGCCCUCACGUGGCCCUCUGACUUGGGUCUUCCAUUGGUGUAACCCCUCAGGCUGUGGCAAAGGAGGUAGAGCUAAACCUACUUCCACACUACUUGAGGAUCAGUAAUAAGUUGCAUUUUUUUGUGGAGAGAAGCAACACAGCAGACAGCGAGAGGAAUGCUUUACAGAACAGGUCCCUGCCAUGGGCUGUGGUGAAGAACAGCCUUGCCACAGCUCAGGGAACUUUCAGAGAGAUGAGAGCCAAGCACUAGGACUGCGAUAUCUGAUAGACCAGGAUAAUUAGCAACAUGCAUCAAACUUUUGGAUGUAGAGGCUGCCUUUGAAGCUAUGUGGCAGUAGCUUGUACCAAUGCUGCAAGGAUCAUCACGCCACAUCUGGAAACCAGUCCUCCAGAUGAAGAGGGUAGCUGUCACCACCUCAGUUCCUACCUCUCGGUGUCCAGCCAUUUGGAGAUGCAUCCUGUGCAAAGUGGCAAUUGAAGUCUUCAGUGCCAUCAUCAACAGCUUUUAUAGUAUACAUCUGCAGAAGCAUCAGUGAUUUUUCUUGGACUUUUGUAAUAUCCUGACCUGUGAGGU